rnacentral:lncRNA from 1 species
AAGUAAAUAAUAUUAUAUGUAUCAAGAACUAACUGCAUCUAGCUGGUUCAAUUGGAUCCAUUGUUUCUCUAGUUUCCGUGAAACGAGAACAAAACUCAUCGUCUAACUUUUAAAGACUAUAAAUCACUUAGUCAAUGUAUGGCGGCUUUGAAUUCAUACUUAUCCAUUCGUUGUUGACGCGCAAAGCGACGUGUUCAACAUAUAUACCAGCAGGCUGCCAAUAUAAUUCACCUGACCAAAUGAAAAACACGGCAUGACGGAUUCCCGGAAGACUUGUUCCUGCCGAAGCAAACGUCGUCACCUCACAUGCAUGCAACACAGCAAAGUGUUGCCGGCUUUGGUUAUCUUCCCUAUAAAUACCAAUCUCCC